rnacentral:rRNA from 1 species
UACGGGAGGCAGCAGUGGGGAAUAUUGCACAAUGGGCGAAAGCCUGAUGCAGCUAUGCCGCGUGUAUGAAGAAGGCCUUAGGGUUGUAAAGUACUUUCAUCGGGGAGGAAAAAACAAAACUAAUAAUUUUAUUUCUUGACGUUACCCGAAAAAGAAGCACCGGCUAACUCCGUGCCAGCAGCCGCGGUAAUACGGAGGGUGCUAGCGUUAAUCAGAAUUACUGGGCGUAAAGAGCACGUAGGUGGUUUUUUUAAAGUCAGAUGUGAAAUCCCUCGGGCGUUAACCUUAGGAACUGCAUUUGUAAACUGAAAUAACUAGAGUAUCGUAGAGGGAGGUAGAAUUCUAGGUGUAGCGGUGAAAUGCGUAGAUAUCUGGAGGAAUACCUGUGGCGAAAGCGGCCUCCUAACCGAAUACUGACACUGAGGGUGCGAAAGCGUGGGGAGGCAAACAGGGAGUUAGAUACC